rnacentral:lncRNA from 1 species
AUUAUAUUAAUUUCUAAAUUUAUGCAAACCAAUAAGUCCCCAACUGUACUUAGGUGGGGGUAUUGAAUUAAGAAAUUUGAUAGAAUUCGAAAGAAUUAUGGUUUCCAGCAAAUUCUUGUGUUAUUCAAUUGUGUAUUUUAUCAAAUCUUUCGAAUUCUUGUGUUAUUCAAUUGUGUAUUUUACUAAUUUAUUUAAAUUUUAGUGUUAUUCAAUAUUUGGUAAAUUUAAUAGAAAUGUUAUUUGAAAGGAAUUUAAUGGAAAAUGUAAUGUAAAAUGCAAAUGAUCAAUUCCUUGAUUUUACGAAGGGAUUUGUUAUUUUUAGAACCAACUUGACCCCAUGGUAACCCACUAUGUCUUUAGAAGACAUAUCACCUACACCAGUCCAAUUCCACGUCUCUCCUCUUCCAAAACCGGAACCGAAAAACUGAACUAUAACCAAACCGAAUUACCCGAAACCAAAAUCGGACCGCCUCAAACAC